AUACAAAACACUACUUGAAAUCUCUUUGAAAUCUAAAAACAGCAAAGCAGGUAUGAAAAAUUAUCAUUAUAUAACAUUAAACAAAUAAAAAAGGCAUGCUCUGAAAUAAAUAUUUUUUUUGAAAGUUUCAAUAUAACAUUUUAAAACCUCUCUGAAUGUUUCGAUUUUAAUGCAAUUUCGGUUAUCGUUCUUGAAUUUAACCUCGAUGAUCGCUAGGGGCGCUGCUUUGUCAACACACUAAGUGCGCGGAAUAUGGCGGAUCCAAAACUGAAUGCCGUGUAGGACAAUAUUCCGACAGAGUGUGAACUACCCUCAAGCCUCCUCUAAAGGAAACGAAUAUAUUUACCUUCGGAGAGUGUCAGAAAUACAUUGAUGUAUAUGGCGUCACUGAAGAUAGAACGUGUGUGGAGCAGCUGACAACGAAGACCGAGCAACAUAUCUUAUAUGACAUGUCAUCAAGUCGGCGCAUUCCGGUCUCUGCAAAACCCAAGGAUAUACUUAAAGUGGUAACAGGAGGAAAAUCAAUCAAACCAAGUGAAAGUACAAGACACUAUUACAAAAGGAAAGCAAAGGAGUCCAUAAAUUCAAUGUUGAACAUCAAGACAGUCUAAAAUAUUGAAUCCAAACAAAAUAUCAAAACUCUAUGAAGAAAUAAAUGACAAAUUGUCAAAUAAACAUGAAAGCAUUCUUA